AAUUUCUCUAAUUAUUCUAUUUCUCAUAUGGGCCAAGCGAGGCAAGUUUAAACUUAACCCAGCCCAUUAGAAGCAAACAGACACUUGUCCGUUAUCGAUUCCAUAUCACAGUCCGUCAUUCUAUCCUACGCUAGAAACCUUCUGUUCCAAGUUUCAAGGGUGCUCCCUUGCCUUUCCCCUCCUUGGACGGAUACAGUGAUUCCCUCCAUUUUUUGUUUCUCCUCGUCUGUUCCAAGUAUCUGUCUUUUUUUCCCCUGACAUGGAAAUUCAUUGGUCCUCUAUUAGGCUUGCGAUGAAUGAAGAUUUGGAUUUGUGUUCGUUAAAAGUUAUAAUUUUAACACUAAUUAGAAAAAAAAAAAACCUAUACAUGGAGGCUAUUCGGUUUCACCCGAAUCAAUAGCUAUUAUACAAUGAUAUUUAUUAUAAAAUUUCUCCAGGCAAUAAUUAUAUUAUAAAAUUAAUUUCUUCAGAAUUAUUAAUAUAUGGGUGUAUCAAAGAUUACAAGAUUGAAUCUAAACUGUCACCCGAGAACCUGAAGCAACAAAUACCAUACCUGGACUAUGCAAAUUCAACUACGGAAGCUAUAUUGCUGCUGCCAUUUGUGGCGCUGCACCUCAAUCCUGAGUCCAGCAGAAGUCCUGCGCCCAUCUACUCAGCCGGAGCUCGAGGGGUAGAUUGCAAUUCCAGGGCAAUAACAAGCGUCCUAAGAUUGUAGCUUUGCUCCAGGGGAAAAAUACAGGCUCUGCUAGCUAGCUUCUUGCUGAGUUUUUAUUAUAGGGCUUUUUCCGGUUGAUCUUUACUUUCUUACAGCACUCCAUGCUCUCUCUUUUGCUGCAGCAGAAGCUUGAGGAGCAAUCUGCUUGUUAACCCUUGUAGUGAAGUUCCAUCUUAGAUGGCCAGCCAGCUCCUUUGUACACGAACCAAAAGCAGCUAAAUCAAAGCAUAUUUAACUAUGUUUUAUAGUGUCUCGUAUGCUUGCAUUGUCCUUUCUUUCUAGUAUCUGCCCUCAAUAUUGUGUUAAUCUAGUGAUACCUAUUACCUGGUAACAAAUGUACAGCUU
rnacentral:lncRNA from 1 species